AUGGUUUCUUCAUCGAGUCGUAAUGGUCCGCGUCGUCCUGGUCGUCCUCGCCGCUCGCGGGGGUCUGCAGUUGGUCGGCGAGGUGGUUCGGCCCGUGCUGGUGCUCCUGCUGUUCCGACGGUCGACGGAUCGGUCUAUCCUUUUGCGAGGUGUUUCAUCUUCUCAUCUUCGCUCGCCGUCUCGGUUUGGUCGUUCUUUGCGUCGUUCGCCUUCUGUGCCUGGUUCCUGUGCCUGGUUCCUGUGAGCGAUCUACUGAUUUGGUGGAUCUUGCGGCGCAACCUUGUUUGGGUGCUUUUCUCUUUCUGUCCAUUCGUGUUUUCACUUCUUCUUCGAUACAACCCUCUGGACACAUCAACGGUCAAGAUUAGAAGAUACCCCUUCGUGAGGAUAAGUGAGUAG
rnacentral:rRNA from 1 species